rnacentral:rRNA from 1 species
UACGUAGGGGGCAAGCGUUGUCCGGAAUCAUUGGGCGUAAAGAGCGUGUAGGCGGCCCGGUAAGUCCGCUGUGAAAGUCCAGGGCUCAACCCUGGGAUGCCGGUGGAUACUGUCGGGCUCGAGUCCGGAAGAGGAGUGUGGAAUUCCUGGUGUAGCAGUGAAAUGCGUAGAUAUCAGGAGGAAUACCGAUGGCGAAGGCAGGUCUCUGGGCUGACACUGACGCUCAUUCACGAAAGCGUGGGGAGCAAACAGG